UAUAUUAUAGUUUAAGAAAAAUUUUAAAUUGCAAGUUUAAAGAUAUAAGGGGGACUUAUUAGUGUAU
rnacentral:tRNA from 1 species